CUACAGCACAUGUUCUGAAGUGUUGGCGUUGCUGUAGGACGCCAUACCAGUGAUGAUCCGAUGAAUGUUUUUAUGACUGAAGGUAUCUAUGGUAGCGGGAGUUCGAGUGGUAAACUGACAUUUUGAAAACAAGUGGGUAUUACAAAGGUUUACGAAAACACAAUGGCUUUUGGAAACUUGAGAAGUAAUAGCAUGGGUCAAAAACAUUUUCGUAUAAAAUGUUGUACGUUUGUGCAAUAACUUUGAAGGCGUAUGGAUUGUGCAUAACGCACAUAUAAGUGAGGCGUGUAUUGCAGCGGCUAUGAAUUAUGGAGAAGAAUGUGAACAGCUAAUAUGCACUGUUGCACAUUGUAGAAAAGUGUACCCAGAAGCUUGUUCUGAAAGCUUAAUAAAGACUAAAAGAUUGAAACUUAAUUCUGUGAUAGAUGCAGAAUUUAAAAUAAAUAAGCAAGAUGACCUACAAGAAAUUACCUCCACGUCUUGUGCUGUUGAUUUAGAGAAAUGCAUGUCUGAUGUCGUGGAGAUGUGUGCCACUCACAAAGAGAUCUGUAAAAAGCUUGAUGAAGUUACCAACUCCUUAAAGGAUAUCAGUGAUGUUUUUCAAAUAAGAGAUAAACAGAUGGAUAUGCUACGGCUUUUACGGAAAUGACCUUUAUAGUGUGGAUGCAUGGAGAAAUUUUGCUGCAAACAAAAAGGUUAAAUCAAGUCUGCAUUAUUUAUGGAGUUUAACUCUGUGAAGCAUGAGACACUGAGAAGCCAACUAUGUCUUUGAAAUAUUGAGAAUGUUGAUGUAACGCACUAUCUGAACUUAUUCAUUAAAACAGGCAGGAGAAGGCUCUUUUCAGUGUUUAAUAAGAGAAGGAGAAGAGUGAAAGUGUGCUAACACAAUAAAAUUGCACAAAUCUGUUGUAAAUAAUUAUCAAAUGUGUCGCAUAGUAAAUGUGUCGUGCAUUACAGACAUGUAUCUCCUUCUCAGAAAGCAGACAAGACAUACAUCGUAAUUAAAAUUGUAGCACUGCCACUGACAAAAUGGUGAAUUGUCAUUUUUACUUUUGUACAUCAAAUGUUACGAAGUGUCAUUAAUGAAAACUCUGUAUAUAUCAGUAAAGGACAUUUUCUUAGCACUACUUAAAAUUUUAAUUGCUCUAUAUGUGUGCCAUAAACCACGCAAAGAAAAUUUGUUGCUUUUGUAGAAGCAAAUUCAGUUGUUUUUUACAUGCUAGUAUAUACACAAGAUUUGUGUAAAUGUAUGCAUACAACGGGAUAGAAAUCAACAGAUUAUAAAAUAUUUAGAAAUAUUUUACUGAGAAAAUAGCCAUCCUUGAUGCAAACAUGUAUUUGUAAUUCAUGAAUAUGUGUACACGAUUUCUAGAAGUGAAA